UCCUUGGUACUCACACAGGCGUCCCUCCUCCUUCCUUUGCUUCGGUACCUCGUAGCCACAGUCCCGCCUGCGCCACCCACGCCACCCGCAGACGGUACCCACUACCAGGGUUCCUGAGGGGACCCGGGAGUGGCGCUUCGUGUGGCCAUCAUCGGCCGGGCCGGGGGCACCCAGCCGGGCACCCGUACAGCCCCGCGGCCGUGGGGAGAGGCUACAGUGCCAGAAAGAAAAGCAGCAGCCUUUCUUCGGACUGCACAGGAACUCAGUUCAGGCUCAGUCACCUCAUCCUGAGACCCAUGCAGUUUAUACUGGGUGCAUUUCGUGGUUAAAGAGAUGCAGAUCUAUGAAAUGGAAUAGAAGCUCUUCAUGGUUGAUUGACAAAUAUACAACCAAGUAGAACCUACAAAUAUGGACCAGAAACUGCAGAACUUCUGAAGCAAAGAGUUUUCUUUCUGCCUUGAAGAUAUUUUCUGCCUCUUUUUGAACAGAUGUUUGCAGGGAUUAUUUCAGGGAGGGUCCUAGAACAAUGCCUGUAAGACAUGGAAGUAAAACAAAGGCAAUAUGAAAAAUACUUAUAAGCCAACAGAGAAUUUCUCAGUGCUGAACAGGUUUUGUUCAUAUAAUCAUUACAGCUAAGUUGUGUAUCUUGUGCAAAGUUAAAUUUUCUUUUUCCCUUCAGUUCUUUCUCUGUUCCUUUUGUUCUUUCUUUAACUAUAAAAUAAAGUUGAAACGUGAGUACUAUAAUUUAUAUUUAGAACAAGGACUUCAUCCUGGACUGUAUCAUUGUCUGGGCUUGACUAAGAUCUUAUUUCUGCCUCAGAGUCAAAGAAUCUCUAAUGCAAAUAAAAAGGAAAAAUAAUACACAAA